rfam:Picea glauca, whole genome shotgun sequence.
AUACUUACCUGGGCGGGGUCGAUCGAUGAUCAGGAAGGUCGAUGGCCUAGGAAUGCCACCUCCAUUGCACUUGGGAGGGGGGUCUACCUAGCAUCUCCCACUGAGGAGAGUGCACGUCAUAAUUUGUGGCAGUGGAGGCCUGCGUUCGCGCGGCCUCCAC